ensembl:lncRNA
CAGGGCAGCAUAUGGGCUGCUGAAGGAGUUUAACUCCAUCUCUGCCAGACCCUGUUUGGGUAUUUCUGAAUGCACUUGGGUACUCUCAGGGGGUUGAACACAGAGGCAGCGUGGGCUGGAGAAGGCUGGCUGUCAAUUGGCAAGCUUCUACUGGGAGAAAAAGAUUACAAUCUGUGUAAAAGUUGCUGCAGAGGGAAUCUUAACCAAGGCAUCACAGGAAGCUCUGGGAAAUGCAGUUACUGGGGGAAGUUCUCAUCUGUCAACAAUUACAUGGAGACGAAGACAGCUGAUGUCUCCUUUUAGCCCGUGUGUGCCCGCCAGUAACGUGAUCGCAGUAAUGAGAAACCUUUUAAAGCAAAUAAUCCAUGUGGUUUUGAUAAGUAAACAACAAAUAAGCCAGCGAGAGGCUCCUUUGACUUUCAGGAAAGAAUAUUUGCAGUGUCCCUCUUGGACACGCGUGUUGCCCCCCUAUGAUCUGUGUGGAGUUAUAGGGAGGCCACCUCUCCCGGCCAUCUGCAGAGCUGGGCAUGGGUCUGGCUCCGUGGGCUGCUGGUGGUAAAUGGCUUACCAGCCUGGCGUAAUAUGAGAUGAAUUUCAAAUGGAGGUUAUAAUAUGAACUCUGCAGCAUGUUACAGCUCAUCUGGCUUUCCCUAACAGGAAGAGUGGCAGGAUGCCCGUGCUGUCCUCUUCCCUGUGGUUUAUUGUCCAAUCAUAUAAGAAAGUUCUGAAGGAGCAACUGGAAUGAGCCUUCAAGCUGACCAUCCGACCUUCUUCCCAUGCAAACCAUGGUCCUCUGCUUCACCAAAGGAACAGCUGCGUUUGGAGCUUCUCUGACUUCACCUGGAGGGCCACAGUGCACUGGGGCUAUCGACUGGACUCUUCCUCUUGUCCUGGCACAGCUCAGUGGAUACCAGUCCCAGUCCUGCCUUUUUCACCAGGGCUCACCUGAAGGCUGCAGGAAGCUCGCAUCUGUCCACUGGAUUCUUCUUGUGGUGGUGCAGAGGCUCAGAGGACCCAGUCUCAGUCUUUCCCAUUUCCUCAGAGCUUGGGAAAGAAGAGUUCUCAUCAGUUUGACUCACAAAGGAAAUAGCAGAAAUGAAGGGCCUUGUACCAGGAUGAUGGAAAUCCGGAGAGAUGUGAAAAGACUUCUGAAUGAGGAGAGAGUGGAAGAAUUGGCACUACUUAAUUUAGAAUGAAUAUAAACAAGAAGGGACAUGACAAGGAUAUAUGGGGGAGCAGAUGCUUUUCAGAAGUUACGAUGAGGUAAGACAAGUCAACAGACUUUUUGAUCACUAUUCAUCACUGAAGUAAGUAGCAAAUGCAUCUGGUGAGAUUUUAGUUAUAAUGAUCAGGG